GUCCUUCCAUGAUGGUUCCUCGCCUUCCUCCUCUUUCUUGGGUUUCUGCUGCCUGAGCGUACAGCCUCAGGGUGCUGGACUUGGGGUGAAACCCUCCAUGCAUGGUAAGGAGCUUUCUUGUCUUGAUGUCAGUGGCUUCUAUCUCCUCCUUUGGCCAGCCUAUUACCCCAGCAGGGUACCUGAUCACGGGCAGGGCGUAGGUGUUGAUGGCCCGGAUCUUGUUCUUACCGUUCAGCUGACUCCUCAGGACUUGCCUGACCCUCUGCAGGUACUUGGUGGUUGCAGCUUUCCUAGCGGCCUCUUCAUGGUUCCCAUUCGCUUGCGGGAUCCCCAGGUACUUGUAACUGUCCUCUAUGUCUGCAAUGUUGCCUUCUGGUAGUUCAAUCCCCUCAGUUCUGACUACCUUCCCUCUCUUUGUUACCAUCCGACUACACUUCUCCAGUCCAAACGACAUUCCAAUGUCAUUGCUGUAUAUCCUGGUAGUGUGUAUCAGUGAAUCGAUGUCUCGUUCACUCUUGGCAUACAGCUUGAUGUCAUCCAUGUACAGGAGGUGGCUGACAACCGCUCCGUUCCGUAGUCGGUAUCCGUAGCCAGUCUUGUUAAUGAUCUC
ensembl:lncRNA